rnacentral:lncRNA from 1 species
GGGGACACAAGAGUUGCAGGCGUGGCAGGAUCUGUGAGCAUGGCAGGAGCUGCAGCUGAGGCAGGAGGCUCCAGGUGAGGAAGGAGCUGCAGGUGUGUCUGAGGCAGGGGCCCCAGAGGAGGCAGGAACUGCCGGUGAGGCAGUCACUGCCGGUGAGGAUGGAGCUGAAGAUGUGGCAGGAGCCCCAGUUGAGAGGGAAGCUGCCGGUGAGGAGGAAGUUGGAGAUGUGGCAAGAGCUGCAGGUGAGGCGGGAGCUGCAGGUGAGGAGGAAGUUGGAGAUGUGGCAAGAGCUGCAGGUGAGGAAGAAGCCACAGGUGAGGAAGAAGCUGAGAGUGAGGAGGAAGCUGAGGGCGAGGCAGGAGCUGAAGAGGAAGCAGGAUCGUCAGAUGAAGAGGGAGCUGCAGGGGACACAGGAGUUGCAGGCAUGGUGGCAUCUGUGAGCAUGGCAGGAGCUGCAGGUGAGGCGGGAGCUGCAGGUGAGGAGGAAGUUGGAGAUGUGGCAAGAGCUGUGGGUGAGGAAGAAGCCACAGGUGAGGCAGGAGCCCCAAGUGAGGAAGAAGCCGCAGGUGAGGACAAAGC